AUUGAACGCUGGCGGCAUGCUUUACACAUGCAAGUCGAACGGCAGCGCGGGCUUCGGCCUGGCUGCGCGUGGCGCACGGGUGAGUAAUGCAUCGGAACGUGCCCCGUAGUGGGGGAUAGCACGGCGAAAGCCGGAUUAAUACCGCAUACGACCUGAGGGUGAAAGCGGGGGACCGAAAGGCCUCGCGCUCUUGGAGCGGCCGAUGUCCGUCUAGCUAGUUGGUGGGGUAAAGGCUUACCAAGGCGACGAUUCGUAGCUGGUCUGCGAAGACGACCAGCCACACUGGGACUGGGACACGGCCCAGGGUCCUACGGGAGGCAGCAGUGGGGAAUUUUGGACAAUGGGGGCAACCCUGAUCCAGCCAUGCCGCGUGCGGGAAGAAGGCCUUCGGGUUGUAAACCGCUUUUGUUCGGGAAGAAAUCCUCUGGGCUAAUACCCCGGGGGGAUGACGGUACCGGAAGAAUAAGCACCGGCUAACUACGUG
rnacentral:rRNA from 1 species